UACAGAGGGUGCAAGCGUUGUUCGGAAUUAUUGGGCGUAAAGCGCGUGUAGGCGGCCUAGCAAGUUGGGUGUGAAAGCCCUCGGCUUAACCGAGGAAGUGCGCCCAAAACUACAAGGCUUGAGUACCGGAGAGGGUGGUGGAAUUCCCGGUGUAGAGGUGAAAUUCGUAGAUAUCGGGAGGAACACCAGUGGCGAAGGCGACUACCUGGCCUGUUCUUGACGCUGAGGCGCGAAAGCUAGGGGAGCAAACGGG
rnacentral:rRNA from 1 species